GGGCGUAAAGAGCUCGUAGGUCGUUUGUCGCGUCGAUUGUGAAAAUCUGAGGCUCAACCUCAGACCUGCAGUCGAUACGGGCAAACUAGAGUGUGGUAGGGGAGACUGGAAUUCCUGGUGUAGCGGUGGAAUGCGCAGAUAUCAGGAGGAACACCAAUGGCAAAGGCAGGUCUCUGGGCCAUAACUGACACUGAGGAGCGAAAGUGCGGGGAGCGAACAGGAUUAGAUACCCUGGUAGUCCGCACCGUAAACGGUGGGCACUAGUUGUGGGAACCUUCCACGGUUUCCGCGACGCAGCAAACGCAUUAAGUGCCCCGCCUGGGGAGUACGAUCGCAAGAUUAAAACUCAAAGGAAUUGACGGGGUCCCGCACAAGCAGCGGAGCAUGCGGCUUAAUUCGACGCAACGCGAAGAACCUUACCAAGGCUUGACAUAUAGCGAAAAGUGGCAGAGAUGUCAUGUCCGCAAGGGCGCUAUACAGGUGGUGCAUGGUUGUCGUCAGCUCGUGUCGUGAGAUGUUGGGUUAAGUCCCGCAACGAGCGCAACCCUCGUUCUGUGUUACCAGCAUUCAGUUGGGGACUCACAGGAGACUGCCGGGGUCAACUCGGAGGAAGGUAAU
rnacentral:rRNA from 1 species